AGUGAACGCUGGCGGUAGGCCUAACACAUGCAAGUCGAACGGCAGUACAGUAAGUGCUUGCUCUUACGGGUGGCGAGUGUCGGACGGUUGAUGAAUACAUCGGAUUCUACUUUUUCGUUUGGGCUAAUGUAGGGUAUCUUACGCUAAUACCGCAUACGUCCUCCGGGUGAAAGCAGGGGAUCUUCGGACCUUGCGCGAUUGAAUGAGCCGAUGUCGGAUUAGCUAGUUGGCGGGGUAAAGGCCCACCAAGGCGACGAUCCGUAGCUGGUCUGAGAGGAUGAUCAGGCACACUGGAACUGAGACACGGCCGAGACUCCUACAGGAGGCAGCAGUGGGGACUAUUAGGCAAUGGGCGAAAGCCUGAUCCAGCCAAACGGCGUAGGUGAAGAAGGACUUAGGGUUGUAAAACCAUGUUGUUGGGAAAAAAAAGCAGCAGGUUAAUAGCCCGCUGUUAUGACGGUACCCAAAGAAUAAGCACCGGCUAACUUCGUG
rnacentral:rRNA from 1 species